AUACUGAGUUAACGCAGUAAAUGGUUUAGAUUCUUGUUUUAACCUGGCAGAAACACAGGGUUUUUGUUUUUUGUUUUUUUCUUUUGAAGCACUGUUCACAGUACAAUGAUUACAAAUAGGGAAUACAAAAAAAAACAAAAAAAAACAAAUAGGGAAUACAUAUGCUUGUUUUCUUUGGGCAUAUUUGUUAUAUAAGAAAAUGGAAAGAAAAUGGAAAAAAAAUGUCCGAGCUAAAUAAAGCAAUUUCAAUGUCUGUUUUUAUUGUUUUCAAUUUAAUGAUGGUUCUCUAUUUAAAAUACCUUAGCAAAAAUAUCCCCCAGAUAUUUCUAGCCUGUUAAAAUGAUGCACCUUCUCAGUAUUUAUUUACUUCACAAAUAUUUGUUAAAAUCUAUAUUCAAGGCACUUCACAGUCUGUUUGAAAUAACUUCAUUAAAUGAGAUAACCAAAAUCUUGUUCAAAGUUUUGUAAAAGCCAUAAAUUAGGGGGGAAUUUUUUUUCUUGUACCAGCCCUUAACUGGGCACUUAAAUGUAUUUAUUCUCCCAGCAACCCACUCAGGUAGGUACUGAUCCCCCAUUUUACAGAUGAAGGAACCAAGGCACAGAGUGGCUUCAUAAUUUACCUGAGAUCACUGUCUAAUAAGGGAUAAAUUCAGACCUAAAGUUCAAAUCCUAUACAGUCAUGGGUUUUCCUAUCAUGUAUGCUAAAAGAGUCACAUCAAACCACAGGAAAAUCAGAAAAUAAUUAGAUUCUUCCUUGCUAGUGAGUUAAGUCCCUACUGCUAUCUAUUGAAACAUGGAUGAAGAUUCAUAGACAUUUUCUUUGGUGUCUUAAACUAACUACCUUCAGUUAAAACCCCAGAUUCUAAUUUUACAAACAAGGCCCCCUCUAACAAAAUUAAAGUAGAAUGAUAUUAUUCCCUGGCCUAAAGAAAAAUUCUGCAGUAACUAUAGAAGUGCUUGUGGUAUGAAGACAGCAUCUUAAAUCUCUGUAUAAGUCAUAUACAAAGUGUUAUUGCGAUGAAAAAAUAGUGGCAUGAAUGAUACCUGCUCACAGCCCAAGACACUUGAUGUAUCUUGGGCCUCAGUGUUUGUUGGAUUUUACAAUUUCAUGACCAAGAUUUGUAUUUUUUUUAAGUUCCAUAUUUCUGUAUUCCACUUGAUGUCAAAUCUGUAUUCUUAUAUCGUAGCAUUCCAUUAAAAAAAAUAAUAAUCUCAGCCCCUCCUCCCUCUCCUCCCCCUCCCCCCCACACUCAUUUUGUAUAAUAUGGUAAUGAUAUCACCGUAGCAGUAAUUACGGGUCAUCUUCAUUUCUUUCAUCUCUGCCUGUUCUGAUGGCUUCAUUCCUUUGACGGAAAAGAUUUGGCUCUGGGUGCUAUGAUUAUUUUGUUAAGCGUUAUUCGAAUAGACAGGAGUGAGAGAAAUUAAUCAAUCCAAAUGCAAUUAGCAUCAUGUUUAACCCAGUGAUGGACGUCUCAAGGUGAAACAGCCAGGGGAGUUUCAGACAUUAUUAUUCAAUCCAGUGGUUCUUAUCUAAAUUAUAAUCAAGAGAGGUUUUUAUUGGCUUCGCAGUGUGAAGAUGUAACUCUUUCCCUGCCCUGGGGGUCAAGAAGACUGGGCCUGCAUCCUCUGCAGACUUUAGCUUUGAGGUAGGGAGGUUCCAGGCAGGAAAGUUGUCUUAAUACCCAGGUCCUUUGAAAUGUAACUAUGCUGUGAUCUUGGUCUGAUUUUCCUGAGAAUGGAAUAUUGCCUAUGAAUAAAUUACUCUAACUUGGGGAAAAAUAUUUUGUCUACUGAUGAAGUCACUUUGACUAGUUGUUGUUUUUCUUAACCCUACAUGAUAAGUUACUAUUGCUGUGCUCACUUUAUGGAUGAGGAAAUUAAGAAUGUGUGAAGUGACUAGCCAUGAUCAGAGUGAGUGUUUCAACCACGAUGUAUUACUGUGUAAAGACCCUAAAGUGUGAAUGUUCUGCAAAAAUUUAAGAGUAUCUAAUAAAAGUUUACCCCAAGAGUAUUAAUCCAUUGCUUUGAUUUCAUUAGCUUGCAUUCAGUUGAGUUUACCCUUGGAAAGGAAACCAAAUGAAACUAUGAAAUAGGCCUGUGAGGCCCUCUGAUGAGGAAACAAUGCAAAUAAGUUGUUAGCUCUCAUUUCUUGAACACAAAUCUUUGGGGUUUGUUGUUAUUGUUUGGGUUUGUUUUUUAGUAGGAGGAAGGAUGAUAAAAAGGAUUGAAUAUUUGAAAUCUAGUCUUGUUUUGCUCUUGAAAGAGGGCAAGGCAAGGAGAGUUGAUAGAGAAACACAGGCUUUCACCUGAAUACAUUUUUCAAAUGCCUGACAAUUAAGAUUCUUCUACUUCUGCUUUCAAUCUUCAGGCAUCAUGGCUGACACUUCCCAUAUUUUAUGUUCCUGCUUGAUGUUUUAUAUUCUGAGGAUAAAUCUGUUGGCUGGAUAUUUCUGUCCUUUCUUUUCCCCUCUGUUGUGAAGAGCCAUUAAAAUUAUUUUCCAUAUUGGAACUGUCCAAAUGUGUUUACCUAUACAUUGAGUCCUGGAUUUUCUUUUUUAUAUUCCUUCUUAGAUAAAACAUUCUCUGGAAAUGGCCCCUACUAUGAAUUGAUCAAAAAGAUUUGAGGGAGUUCCCAUUGUGGUGAAGUGGAUUAAUGAUCUGGCUUGUCUUUGUGGCAUUACUGGUUCGAUCCCUGGCUUGGCACACUGGGCUAAGGAUCUGGCAUUGCUGCAGCUGUGGCUCUGAUGUGAUCCCUGGCCCGGGAACUUCCAUGUACCACGGGUGCGGGAGUUUCCAUUGCGGCACAGCGGAGACGAAUCCAACUAGGAACCAUGAGGUUGCAGGUUUGAUAAGUGGCCUCACUCAGUGGGUUAAGGAUCUGGCAGUGCCGUGAGCUGUGGUGUAGGUCAAAGACGAGGCUCGGAUCUGAUGUUGCUGUGGCUGUGGUAUAGGCUGGCAGCUAUAGCUCCAAAUGGACCCUAGCCUGGGAACCUCCAUACGCCAUGUGCACAGCCCCAAAAAGCAAAACAAAACAAAACAAAAACAUAUACCACGGGUGUGGCCAAAAAAGGGAAAAAAAAUUUGAUACAAAUUUAUCGUUUUCUGAAUUCUCUGGAGGGAAUACUGUUCUUAGCCACUUCACCCUUUUGGAAGAAAAAGUCCUAUUAGAGAGACUACCAAUAGAAAGAGAAUCUGGAAAGUGUACCCCCAAAAGGAUUUUUGGAGAAUACUGAGGAUGAAGAUUUUCACAGAUAGUUUGGUCACAGCUGUAGCAUUCAGACUGUCUCUUUUUAAAUACUUACUUCAUUCUCCUUUUUGAAAUUCUUAUGCCCAAAGAAUUUUGGCCAAAAGCCCUAAGGCUAUUCUGCCUGCCUUCAAAUGCUACUUUUGUAUAUAUUAGAGAAACGUGAGAUUUCUGCCAUACUCUUACUUGGAUGGGCCCUCCCAUAAGAGUUGAUUGAGAAUGGACAGUAGACCUUAUUACAGUUAUGCCAUUUUUUGAGGGCUACCGAAUGUUCUCAUGAGGUCCUCAGAGAGCCCUUCUCAUCCAGUGACACCAGACUCAGUUCGUAGCAUCUUCUUCUUUUCACAAUGGCCCUAGCCCCAGCCACUCUUAUAUUAGAGGCAUUAUAAAGCACUUAGUCUUUAUUUUGUUCUUUUUUUGCCACACCUGUGGCACGUGGAAAUUCCUGGGCCAGGGACUGAACCUGCGUACCACACAGCCACAACCCAGGUAGCUGCAGUGAUGUCACUGGAUCCUUAACCUGCUGCACCACGAGGGAACUCUCAAAAGCGCUUAGUCCUUGACUUGAAUCAUUGAUCACUUAGUAGUACGUUUUGUGCCAAAGUCUGAACUGGAGCAUGGUGAAGAAUUGCAGUCUGGCAGACUGCCUGGAACUGCUCUGCUGCAUGCCAGCUCUGUACUACAGUGACAGGACAACGUCCACAUUCCUGCGAGAGAGAAAUCAGCAUUCUUAAGUCACAUUGGUUUCCUUUGUUCUCCUUGAAUUUACCAAGGUAUCUGUGACAGCUAGCCAGCUCCAUCUCAAAGACCACUUCUCAUCUGUUUGAAUUUUCCCUAAUACCUAGUACAUGGUAGGCUCUCCGCAUGACUCAUUAAACAUUCAUCACCCCUUCCUGCCUUUCUGACAGCACACACUGAUGACUAGGAGCUCCCUCAAAGUUAGUAGAACACAUUCAACAUUUCGAGCACCAAAAAAAAAGUUUUUAAAGAAAAGUCAAAGCCAUAAUUGUAAUAAAUGGCAUAAUUUUUACUUAACAUCUUCCAUAAAGCUAAUUAUAUAGAUAACUUUUUAGUGCACUGAUUUAAACCAAACUACCUAGGGUUUUAUGUGUUCCCUUAUGCUAGAAGAAGCUGCAGGUAUAAUGAAGGAAGGUAGCUGCUUGUAAGUAAUACACAGGUUUGAUCCUUCUGUAUGUUACACAGAUGCGAAUCAUUCAUGUUCACCUUUGUUUGUUGCUGUUGUAAUGUGGGUUUGAUCCGUGGCUGCAGGAUUUCUGUGUGUCACAGGUGAGGCCAAAAAAACAAAAAAAAA
rnacentral:lncRNA from 1 species